UACAGAGGUCUCAAGCGUUGUUCGGAAUCACUGGGCGUAAAGCGCGUGUAGGCGGCCUCUUAAGUCGGGUGUGAAAGCCCGGGGCUCACCCCCGGAAGUGCACUGGAAACUGGGAGGCUCGAGUACCGGAGAGGAAGGUGGAAUUCCUGGUGUAGCGGUGAAAUGCGUAGAUAUCAGGAGGAACACCGGUGGCGAAGGCGGCCUUCUGGACGGAUACUGACGCUGAGACGCGAAAGCGUGGGGAGCAAACAGG
rnacentral:rRNA from 1 species